rnacentral:rRNA from 1 species
AUGUUCCACACAAAGUUGCAACAACACCCAAAAGGAAACGGAAGGCCAAACCAGAAAGCUCGACAAAAAAUACUCAUAUGUGAUGCUCCACAUGUUUGCACGUGCUGCCAGUUUCAACCAAGUGUCAAACAGCAUGAAAAGAUUAAUGAAAACAAAUUAUCCAACAACACUAAAAAUAGAAAGAUUUGUCCAUUAAGCAAUAGAAGAAGCAAAUUGAACUCCUCAGGUGUCCCUUCUGCUCCACAUAAUGUGCAGCAUCCGGUGGAUGUGCUUUCAGGAAUUAGAACGAUAUAUGAGGUGAAGUAA